rnacentral:rRNA from 1 species
UGGGGAAUAUUGCACAAUGGGGGAAACCCUGAUGCAGCGACGCCGCGUGGAGGAAGAAGGUCUUCGGAUUGUAAACUCCUGUUGUUGAGGAAAAGAGGAUGGUACUCAACAAGGAAGUGACGGCUAACUACGUGCCAGCAGCCGCGGUAAAACGUAGGUCACAAGCGUUGUCCGGAAUUACUGGGUGUAAAGGGAGCGCAGGCGGGUAUGCAAGUUGGGAGUGAAAUACAUGGGCUCAACCCAUGAACUGCUCUCAAAACUGUGUAUCUUGAGUAGUGCAGAGGUAGGCGGAAUUCCCGGUGUAGCGGUGGAAUGCGUAGAUAUCGGGAGGAACACCAGUGGCGAAGGCGGCCUACUGGGCACCGAACUGACGCUGAGGCUCGAAAGUGU